rnacentral:rRNA from 1 species
AUUGAACGCUGGCGGCAGGCCUAACACAUGCAAGUCGAGCGAGCGUCGGACGGGUGAGUAAUGUCUGGGCAACUGCCUUAUGGAGGGGGAUAACUACUGGAAACGGUAUCUAAUAACGCAUACAAUCAGAUGUGCCCAGAUGUGAUUAGCUAGUUGGUGGGGUAAUGGCUCACCUCGGCGACGAUCCCUAGCUGGUCUGAGCGGGUGACCAGCCACACUGGAAUGGUGACACGGUCCCGACUCCGACGGGAGGCAGCAGUGGGAAAUAUGGCACAAUAGGCGCAAGCCUGAUGCAGCCAUGCCGCGUGUGUGAAGAAGGCCUUCGGGUUUUAAAGCACUUUCAGCGGGGAGGCGUUACCCGCAGAAGAAGCACCGGCUAAUUCCGUGCGAGCCGCCGCGGUAAUUC